CGUACUCUCGCCUCAUUCCCCUUCUCCCUUCCUAUUGUUUCCCGAUUUCUUAUUUUCCCGUUCCUCCUUCUUCCUUUUCCCUCCCUCGGUUUUCCUCUGGGCAGCACCGCACUUCCCUCUUCCUCCUGCUCACUUGCUUCGGGCCUCCGUGGACCCUCGCCUUCCUCUCUGCCCACAGUCCCCCGGCUCAGAUUCGGUCCGGAGACUCCUGCCUGCCUCUCCCCUCCCCGGGGUCGGCCCUGCGGGUAAUUGGCCAUGCUGUCGCCCAAUUUGAGCAAACAGUCCGAAAAGCCCUUAAAGACCGCAUCGCACUUGCCCGCUGCUCUCACGGCCUGCACCAGGUACGCUGCGGGGAGGAGGGGACACCGGUCAGCAGCGCGGCGACCCCGCCCGGCAGCCCCACGGCCCGCCCGCCAGAAUGCGGCGCAGCUCUGCCCCAAGUGCGCGGUGUCCACUAGUGCCCAGCCUCCGGGAGCGCCAGUGUUAAAGGCGGCCGGGCUUUCACAGUGCGACCUCCCAUUUGCGAGGUGAUAGAGGGGAUCUUGACAGCAGAGUGCCGGCGCGAGGACAGGGUUCAGAGGCGGCCCAGCACUAAGCCCAACCGCUGCACCUGACCCCAAGUGGUGCGAGAAGGUCUCGGGCUCCUUGGUGGGCGCUCAGCAAACACUGCUGAAUAAAUAAAUUAAUAAAGUCUCUGGAAGCCACCAGCA